rnacentral:rRNA from 1 species
AUGUACAAAGACUUGUUCAUCCACAUUUGCAAUUAUGUGAAGCAGCAUGAUCGGUCCUUCGAGCAGAGGAGGAAUUGUGCAGGGUUGCUUGGACAUAGCACCGAACAAAAGGUCACUACCGCAUAGUGUAUGAUGGCCUACGGUGUUCCGGCAGACUACAUUGAUGAAAACUUUGCGGCGACAGAGAGCACUUCUAUGUUCUAUAUCAAGCAAUUCAUAAAGAUAAUGGUAGAAGUGUUUGGCCCAGAGUACUUGAGAACUCCCAAUGCUCAGGACACUCGGAGGAUGUUGGAGAUGGACAAAGAUCAUGGGUUUCUAGGUAUGCUAGGGUCCGUCAAUUGCAUGCGUUGA